rnacentral:rRNA from 1 species
GACGAACGCUGGCGGCGUGCCUAAUACAUGCAAGUCGAACGCAUUUUCUUUCACCGUAGCUUGCUACACCGACAGAAAAUGAGUGGCGAACGGGUGAGUAACACGUGGGUAACCUGCCCAUCAGCGGGGGAUAACACCUGGAAACAGGUGCUAAUACCGCAUAAUUCCAUUUACCGCAUGGUAAAUGGAUGAAAGGCGCUUUUGCGUCACUGAUGGAUGGACCCGCGGUGCAUUAGCUAGUUGGUGGGGUAACGGCCUACCAAGGCUGCGAUGCAUAGCCGACCUGAGAGGGUGAUCGGCCACACUGGGACUGAGACACGGCCCAGACUCCUACGGGAGGCAGCAGUAGGGAAUCUUCGGCAAUGGACGCAAGUCUGACCGAGCAACGCCGCGUGAGUGAAGAAGGGUUUCGGAUCGUAAAACUCUGUUGUUAGAGAAGAACAAGGAUGAGAGUGGAAAGUUCAUCCCUUGACGGUAUCUAACCAGAAAGCCACGGCUAACUACGUG